CCCCCGCGGGGACGUGGCAGCGGAGGCCGAGCCGGCAGCGAGGCGCGUAGACCCCGCAGGGCUGCCCCGGUCCCAAGGCGCAGGUGAGGAGGACACCCACGUACCGAAGAGGAGGCCCCGAGGGCAGCAAAGCCACCGGGCUGGGGCCACCUCCGGCCUCUGGGUUCAGUUCUGCUGCUCCCGCCGGGAUGAGGGGGGUAGCAGGCCUCAGGACAUGCACCUGGGGGGAGCCAGCGUUUGACAAACAGUCUAGAAAUCAGUGAGGUACCCGCUUUUCUGCCUGUCCUGUUACCCUCUCCAUCUCCUCAUAUUUCACCUGGGGGGGGAACAACAAACAACGAAACAAAAACCACCGUUUUCUCUUUUGCAUGCAACAGUUGUCACUACAAUAAAAGCAAAAGUAUUCAAACUUCA